CAGCCGCCGCGGGAAUACAGAGGGUGCGAGCGUUAAUCGGAUUUACUGGGCGUAAAGCGUGCGUAGGCGGCUUUUUAAGUCGGAUGUAAAAUCCCUGAGCUUAACUUAGGAAUUGCAUUCGAUACUGGGAAGCUAGAGUAUGGGAGAGGAUGGUAGAAUUCCAGGUGUAGCGGUGAAAUGCGUAGAGAUCUGGAGGAAUACCGAUGGCGAAGGCAGCCAUCUGGCCUAAUACUGACGCUGAGGUACGAAAGCAUGGGGAGCAAACAGGAUUAGAUACCCCGGUAGUCCCUGUCUCUUAUAC
rnacentral:rRNA from 1 species